AGGACCCUGAGAUCAUGACCCAAGCCAAAGGCAGAGGCUUUAACCCACUGAGUCACCCAGGCGCCCCUACUUCUGCUUUCUGCUUGAUUUCAUGACAUCUUGUCUUGUGUAGUUUAGAAAUUGAACUGUGCCCACUAUUUGGAGUUCCAUUUUCUGUGGUGCCUUUUUUUUUUUUUUUUUUUUUUUUUUGGUCUUGACCUUCAAGUUCUGGUUACCUUAGCAGGAAGCAGUAAAACAGUUUUUAUGCCCUACUUCAUGAGACUUCUCAAAGCUCUGAAUUACCAUUUCUGCUCUUAAGCUUGGCUUCAUACAGCUUCAGGAUUAACAGAUGCAUCAAGGGAAAAAGAAGCAGCUCACUUCAGUGUGUUUCUCUUAAUUUAAUCAUCUAGACCACUCUAAAGACGUUUCCUGGGUUUAUAUCUGACACCUUUAAAAAAGCUAAGCUUUGGGGGGUAUUUUAUCUAGUUUUUAUGGUUUCUAUCAGCCAAAGAAUUAGUAUGAGACGAGAUAACCUGUCCUAUUUGGAAGAAGAAUCCUUUCUAUAUAAUUUCUGUAGCUACCAGUUACCGGUUUAAGAAAGUUCCCUUCUAUCCUUGGUUCACAGAGAGGAUUUAAAAUGAAUGGAUGUUGCAUUUUUAAAAUGUCUUUUCUGUAUCUGGUGAGAUGUGAAUUUUCUCCUUUAUUCUAUCGGUGUAACAUAUUCAUUGAUUUACAAAUAUUGCAUUUCCAGAAUAAACCCAGUUUUUUAAUGAUGCAUUAUUUGUUAAUGUAUUUAUGGAGUCAGUGUACUAACAUUUCAUUUAGAAUAUAUUGAAAAAGAUUGAACUGAAUUUUCCAUUCUUGUAACGUUCUUGUCAGCUCUUGGAUCAAAGUAAUGCUGAUCUCAAAGAACAAGAUGGGAAAGGUUCCUUCUUUGGAAGAGUUCUUUUUCUUUGGAAGAGUUUGUGAAACAUCAGUGUUCUUCCUUAGCCACCUGAUAAAAUUCAUCAGGCAAGCCAUGUGAACCUUGAGUUUUCCUUGUGGAAAAGUUUUUAAUUACAGAUUAAAUGUAUAUAAUAGAUACAGGACAAUUUAGAUUUUCUAAUCGUGUGUCCUCUCCCUGACAGGAUCAUUGAACCAUUGCAUCAGUCACAGACUAGCUAUCACCAGACUCCUUAUUAGAUGAACAAACUAAACAUCUUGCUUUUCCAGAAAGCAAAGAUGGACUGAAAGCCCAAUGGGACAUGUCUAAAGGACACAAGAAGCAUCAUGAAGGACCUUCGCUGGCCACAUCUGAGAUCAUUUGAACACCAAAAAGUAAUGGCUACAAUUUAUUAUAAUACAUUAAAUAAAUAGAUAAAAAUCCAUGA